GGUUUAUUACUCAAUAUUCCUGUGAAUGGUAUUUGAUUUUCCAUGUAGUUUGAGGAACCACGACGAGUCUUUUUUUUUUUAUACACACAGUUUCUGAUAGUGUUACAUCAACCUCCACUACUGUCAUGUUGUGACCCGCAAUGGCAAAGGAAAGCUCGUCGUUGAGUGCAGCGUUGAUGAUUCUCAUGAGGUAUGUCUUCCCUUGCUCUACCUCCAUUGCAAAUGUAUGCUUUUCAAAACAAGGAAAUAGUGGUCCUGGUUUGUAUUGUAUGAACUGGAACAUAAUGCCUUGUACCUUACUGUCACCUAUUGUAUAUCUUAAUCUUUUGUCAAGAAUAUAUUUGAACAUUUGACAUCGCGGUGUAGAAUGUGAUUUGUAUGCAUCUUGGUGUCAUUGUUCUGCAACU
rnacentral:lncRNA from 1 species